GUUUUUGUUUGUCAAGGAUUUUCAUUGUGAUAUAACAAGCUUUGGCUUGUAGUAACGGUUAUCUAUGUUCUUCUUUUUAUGGAGGCUUUGAGUUCAUAGUUCUUUUUGUUUAAUGUAAGGUCACAAUGAAUAAUUUGAUCACAGGUUCCUAGUCACAGUUGUAAAAUUUCAUUAUUAUUAUUAUUUGAACUCACAGCUGUAAAUUUAUGCAGGCAUGA
rnacentral:misc_RNA from 1 species